rnacentral:lncRNA from 1 species
GAUGCUAGGUGAAGACCUACUAUGUGCCAUACACCUAGCAGGGUCAGUUACACUCCUGCAGUUACUGAGCCCUUGCAAGUCUUGCGUGAAAGCUAAGACUUUUGUAUUAACAAAGAGGACACUGGGAUUCACUAUCACCACGACUAGACAACUUGCCUGAAGCUCAUGGAAGUUGGGAACGUUGUAUCAAAAUAGAACAACCGGGGACCCAAGCCAGUAUGGGAACCCAGAUCUGACUCCUGAAUUUAAGCCCUGCCUUGCCUCAUGGACCUACUUCAUUGCGUCCUUCGUGGCCACCAUUCCUCAACCAAACCUUCUUCUUAAGGAAAGGGAAAAAAAUGAGCUAACAGCUGCUAGGAGAUUUGGAAUGAAUGUGAAGUUUUCCAGGUUAAAAUGGAGACCAAAGGAAAUUUACAUGAUUCCACUUUCCUCAUCUCUCUGGAUCCUUCAUCGAGCCGGUAAUGUAUUCCCCCUUCUUGCUAACACACUUUUUAAAAUGUUAAUAGACUGUAAAUUACUUUUCUUUUUAUACUUCUUAAAAUAAGCGUUUCCUCUUGUAGAUGGCAAGACGACGCUGGAGUUACGGGCUUGGUUUUAUUACUGUCGAGAUGAGAUGGACUGGAGAGAGCUCAUACAGCUUUUAUAGGAACUAUUUUAUUUAUAAGAAUUUUCCUAAUGUCAGAUGGAUGUGACAUGCCUGGUUUCUUUCUGCCCGCUAUUGAGAGAAGAGAGGAAUUUAGCAUGGA